CGUCUCCAACACACUUACUCUUCCUCGUCCAUCUUCUUUCUUCUGAUUUAAUCAAAUCAUUGGAUAACAUCUUGCUGCUUCUGCUGCUCGGGUAGGGACAGAAGAAAAAAUGGUUGGAGGAAGCGAUCCAUUUCGACGUUAUUUUGAGAAAAUGGAUGAUGGUUUAUUGAAGUGCAAAUUUUGUGAGAAGAAAUUGGCUAAAGAUACUAAAGCUACAAGGAUGAAAUGUCAUAGGAUGAAGGUGCUGCUCCCUCCUUGGUUGUUGUCUAGACUCGGAUUGGAAGUGAUUGUAGUCGAAGAUUGUUACGACAUGCAGGAGAUAAUGGGAAGUUGUGAAGUUUUGGUACAUAAAAGGAGCUUCUCUCUCUUUCUGGUAGUUUUGAUAAAACAUUGAGGGUUUUGAUACUGAAGAAAUUACCAAAUUUGAAAAGCAUUUAUUCUGGAGGACUUCUAUGCAAUUCUCUCGAAGAAAAUUACUAUGGGUGAUUGCCCGCAGCUAACGAGGAUCCCGAUCACUAUUUCCCAUUCUCUUAAGAAAAUUGAAGUAGAUCCUGAAAGUUUGUUGAACACAAUUGAGCAUUUUUGAAGGCCUUGCCUCUUACCCACAAGAAGAUGCAUUUCACAGCUAGAAGCAGUGCUCUCUGGUGAAAUGCCAUGACCGCACCCAUUAUGGUCAUGGUUUCCAAUCCUGUUUUGUUGUGAUUGGUUCCUCGUGGCUUAUGCAAGAUAUGGUAAUGUGAUAUGGUAAUUAUCGUAUUUAUACAAAAUAGAUCAAUUAUCAUGGGG